GAUGAACGCUAGCUACAGGCUUAACACAUGCAAGUCGAGGGGAAACGGCAUCGAAAGCUUGCUUUUGAUGGGCGUCGACCGGCGCACGGGUAAGUAACGCGUAUCCAACCUGCCCAUCACUUGGGAAUAACCUUGCGAAAGUAAGACUAAUGCCCAAUGACAUCCCACGAAGGCAUCCGAAUGGGAUUAAAGAUUUAUCGGUGAUGGAUGGGGAUGCGUCUGAUUAGCUUGUUGGCGGGGUGACGGCCCACCAAGGCAACGAUCAGUAGGGGUUCUGAGAGGAAGGUCCCCCACAUUGGAACUGAGACACGGUCCAAACUCCUACGGGAGGCAGCAGUGAGGAAUAUUGGUCAAUGGGCGAGAGCCUGAACCAGCCAAGUAGCGUGCAGGAUGACGGCCCUAUGGGUUGUAAACUGCUUUUAUAAGGGAAUAAAGUGGGUCACGUGUGACUUUUUGCAUGUACCUUAUGAAUAAGGACCGGCUAAUUCCGUG
rnacentral:rRNA from 1 species